rnacentral:sRNA from 1 species
AGAGGGAGGGAGAGAGAGAGAGAAUGAAUUAGUCUCUGUAAGGUGCUUCCAUAGCUAUUUCUAUUUAACAGGGAACAGCCAUUAAACCCAAAGCAUAGGCCUGUAGUCCCAGCAAGAGGCAGGAGGAUGGUGAGUCUGAACGUAGCCUGAAUAAUUUACUGAGACUCUGUGUCAGAAAUCAAAAUAAAGAGGCUUAUAGAUGUGGUUCAGUGGUAGAGUGCUUGCCUAGUAUGUGUUAGGCUAUGUGUGUCAUAUAUAUUGGUACACAGCACACAUGCACACGCACAAGAGACACACACAAAUUGUCCUCUCUUCCAUGUUCACUUAAGAGGUGAAGUUGGGGGAUCAGCCUUAAGGAAGGCCCAUGGUAAAGAUUUGUCUAUAAUGAAAGUAUUUCACCCUCUUACAACGAUUCCAUGCCACCUUGCCCAGGUUUGGGAGAGUGAGCUGUAGAUUCCUAGAGUGGGGAUUCAGGACAGAGGCCACUCUUGGGAAGCUGGGUUAGAUUAGGGUUAACUAUGAUCCCCUGGGUUGGGGGUGGCUACUGGUGUACCUGAGUUAGCAAAGUAGGGGAAAAGGACAGGCAGGCAGGCCAAAGGGCUUGAAGCAGGGGGUGGGGUGGGGAGGAAGGGGAACCAACUGGCCAGAAAAUUGCAAAGGUCACUGAUGCAAUCUUGCAACAGCCUGCUCAGCCUUCCCUGUUAGAGCCCAGAGCCAGAGGAGAAAGGGUGCCAAUCUUAGGGGUCCAAAGUCACUGCCAGACUCAGAAGGUGCUGACCACUGCUUGGUCUGCUACUAGUCCUUCAGGUAAGAGCUUGUCAAAAGUGGGGGUUGGCCAAGGCCAGGAACGGUUCAAAUUUCAAGUUCACACUUUAGUUGAUACCUAAGUGAUCAAGGUAACCACGGGCCAAACGGGGAUUAUUCUUGGAGGAUCCUGACUUGGCUUUAUUCUUUUAACCUUGCCGAUCCGGAAAGUUCUGUAGGGAGGGUCCAAGCCAAGGCUAACUUCAGUCUUGGCAUUGUUCUUAAAUCUUCAUGAUAGUUUUGGAGCUCUCCUAGUAGCUGGCAGCAGUAACCAUGCAACUUUCCUAAUAACCAUGAAGAUUCCAGACAUGGUGGCUCCUGGGAAAGAGGGUGACAUGUGCCCUGAUAGGAGGGCACCCACUUGGUUUCCCCUCGGAAGGUGAGUCAGUCCAGUUUCUGACCCAAAACUCCAAAACUGACUGGGCAGCAAGUAUUUCCUGUGUUUCUAUAACUUAGACCUCCACGUCAUAAUUUACUUGGGGUUCCUCUUUCCCAGGGUUUCGUGAGAUAAACAUCUUUGUCCACCUCUAAAGGAACCCGACCUUGACCCCUGACUCCACUAGCUUGCUGUCAGUGGCUAGGCAGCAAAUGACAAGGGGUGAGGUCACUGGCGGAUUUGGUGGUGCAGGUUGAGGGAGUAUGGGUGUUGGGGGUGGGGGAGGAGAAGGUCAGCAUGACUCUAUCUGCUGGAGAAAGACCCCUUAGCUUUUGGAUGGGAGGGGAGGAGGCUGGGAUGGGGUGGGAUGAGAGGGCUUGGGAUGAAACGUGUACCUUGACUAGCCUGAGACUACUUUUAGAAGUUCAAGUCUGGGGGUUGAGGAUUUAGCUUAGUGGUAGAGCGCUUGCCUAGCAAGCACAAGGCCCUGGGAUAGGUCCUCAGCUCCAGAACAAACAAACAAACAAACAAACAAACAAACAAACAAAAACCCAGAAGUACAGGUCUGUACUGUAUUUGGAGCCAACACAGGUCAUGGUUAUGAAGAUCAAACCAAGCCAUAAGGUCACCAACCCUCUAUUUGACUGAAGGCUGAUGAGGACUCCCUGUGUUAAAGCUGAGACAGAGCUGAGCAGAACAGACAUCUAACCCCCGUCUGAGUUAAUAUGUAGUACUCAGGGUGGUGCCAUCUCGGGGCAUAUGGUCCUGGGUUGUAUAUGAAAGCCAGCUGAGCAAGCCAUGAGGAGCAAGCCAGUCAGAAGCACCCUCUUCUCCUCCUAGACCUCUGCCUCUUCAAUUCUUGCCUCCAGAUUCCUCCCUAGAACUCCUAUCCUGACAUCCCUUCCAAGAUGGACUGUACCCUGAAAGUGGAAGAUGAACCGCCUCUCCCUCCUCCCACCCCCGUCGCUUUCAGUUAUGGUGUUUAUCACAGUAACAGAUGUAGAAAGGUUUUAAUCUUAACCCAGGGUCUCUACCCUGACUUUGACCACUUAGUUUCUGCAUAAAAGAUACACAUGACCUUUAUAUUUAUAAAUAAGCCUUUAUCAGCACUAAUGCUAGGCAGAUAUCUACCCUCUAUGCUAUUAAAAUCUAUUUCCUAUCAAUAACCCUGAUUUGUUACUUAAUAUGUUUCAUCUGGGCUUCUCUUAACUCCAAUUGGCCAGCCCUCAGGGCCACACUUUCUUGAUUCCUAACCCAUGGCAUCUUUCUCCUUUCUCUACCUUCUUCUCCCCUCCCUCAUGGCCUCCUCUGACCUCCAGGCCAAGAACACCAAGGCCUAUCUCAAUUCUGGCCAGCUAUAGGCUGUAAGCAUCUUUAUUCACCAAUCAAAACUAACCUGGGGGCCAGGUCGCAUAGCUUAACUAGGGUCUAUAUAUAAACUUUCCCGCCUCUGGGGUGACUUGGUCUGGUGGGCCAGUACUUAGCAUUACAAUACAUAACAACAGACCAAACCUCAACACGCAGAAACCAUAUUAGAACAUCACUUGUCCUGGAUGGAGCAGCUCCAAGAUGGUAAAAGUCUCCUGGUGACUGUAUGAAGCAAAGGGUCCCCUCCCUUUACUGUUUUGCCUGUUAACUUUGUGUGAAAUAAAAACAAAAAAUUAA